AGAGCAUCACACAACAACCACAUCCCUCCCCUACAGAAGCCCCAGAGCACAGCACCUCACCAUGGACUGGACCUGGAGGAUCCUCCUCUUGGUGGCAGCAGCUACAGGUGCCCACUCCCAGGUGCAGCUGGUGCAGUCUGGGGCUGAGGUGAAGAAGCCUGGAUCCUCAGUGAAGGUCUCCUGCAAGGCUUCCGGAUACAUCUUCACUGACUACUACAUGCACUGGGUGCGACAGGCCCCUGGACAAGGGCUUGAGUGGAUGGGAGAAAUCAACCCAAAAACUGGUGGCACAAACUAUGCACAGAA